UGCGUAGGUGGUUUAAUAAGUUAGCUGUGAAAUUCCUGGGCUUAACCUAGGGUGGUCAGCUAAGACUGUUAAACCGGAGUGUAGGAGAGGGUAGUGGAAUUUCCGGUGUAGCGGUGAAAUGCGUAGAGAUCGGAAGGAACACCAGUGGCGAAGGCGGCUACCUGGCCUAACACUGACACUGAGGCACGAAAGCGUGGGGAGCAAACA
rnacentral:rRNA from 1 species